rnacentral:rRNA from 1 species
AUGAUAUCAGAUAUGCAAAAUGUUCCCAUGUUACCUCUCGGUGAUAUCACUAAGGUGUGUCAACCAACCUCGGUGGACCUUGACGAGAAAAAAGAGCUAACAAAUGCUCGAAGGCGAGCGGGUUAUCGAAAGAAAAAAGAGGAGGCAGCCAGCAAGCAACAAGAUGAAAAUCUGCCUGCGAUUACGAAAUCAGUUAUGCUAAAUGUUCCCCAAUUACCUCUCGGUGAUAUCACUACUGUGUGCCAACCAUCCUCGAUGGACCUUGACGAGAAAAAGGAGCAAAUAAAGGCUCGGAGGAGAGCUGCUUAUCAAAAGAAAAAAGAGGAGGCAGCCAGCAAGCAACUAGAUGAAAAUCAGCCUGCCCUUACGAUAUUGGAACACAAGGGUGACUUAACAGACGAGCAAAGUGAGCAGAGACGCGCGGAGGCGAGCAAAUUAUCGGAAAAAAGUGGGUGA